UCAUUUUUUUUUUUUGUAAUCAUGCUAAGUAUCCUUGGCAUUUAUCAAUAUAAACAACUGUCAAAAUCUAGAUAUGUGGCAAGAAUAAUUGCUAUGUAAGGCUGAAUAUUGGGAUAAAUAGCCAUUUAUUAGUUUCUGGCAGAAGACUAGGUUUAUUCUUAUUACUUCCAUGAACUACAGUAGGUUGCUUCCUACCCCCAUUUGAAGCAAUUUUAGGCCCACAAGAAAAUGCUUUGAUGGAUUAACCAACUGCAUUGGUCAUCACUAAGUAAUUUUGCUUGAAACUAAUAUAAUUUGUGAAGAUGAUCUAGUCAUGUCAUGCUUUCUCUGUUUAACUUUAGUAGGUGUUUGUUUUAAAUUUUGGAUAUUGGUGGUGUGCCAAUUCUUUUGUAUAGCCAUUUUCACAUUGAAAUUGCAGUCAACUGUAAAAAACUGCAGUAAGUUGCUUGCAAUGCUAACAAACCAUCAUUUGUUUAACAGUAAAUACCAUUUGUAAAUUUGAAACUGUAAAAUUGGGAAACAUAUUAGCCUCCUCCAUUAUUGUCGAAUUUUGAUGUUCAUAACUAUUUCUAGAAGUUGUGGAGAUUCUGGUUCGUUCAAUCUUGGCUUUUGUUC
rnacentral:misc_RNA from 1 species